rnacentral:rRNA from 1 species
UACGGAGGGUGCAAGCGUUGUCCGGAUUCAUUGGGUUUAAAGGGUGCGCAGGCGGGAGAUUAAGUCAGGGGUGAAAGACGGUUGCUCAACAAUCGCAGUGCCCUUGAUACUGGUUUUCUUGGGUGACCUUGAGGUAGGCGGAAUGGGUGGUGUAGCGGUGAAAUGCAUAGAUACCACCCAGAACUCCGAUUGCGAAGGCAGCCUACUGGAGGUUAACAGACGCUCAGGCACGAAAGCGUGGGGAUCAAACAGG